CCACUCCUACGGGACGCAGCAGUGAGGAAUAUUGGUCAAUGGGAGAGAUCCUGAACCAGCCAAGCCGCGUGAGGGAAGACGGCCCUAUGGGUUGUAAACCUCUUUUGUCGGAGAACAAAACCCGGGACGUGUCCCGGACUGCGUGUAUCCGAAGAAAAAGCAUCGGCUAACUCCGUGCCAGCAGCCGCGGUAAUACGGAGGAUGCGAGCGUUAUCCGGAUUUAUUGGGUUUAAAGGGUGCGUAGGCGGUCCGUUAAUUCAGCGGUAAAAUUGCAGUGCUCAACCC
rnacentral:rRNA from 1 species